UUGCUCCACCGCCAGUAACUGCUGCACCACCACCACCUCCACCUGCAGCCACCAUGAACACGGAGAAUAACGGUUUUGAUGAGUUUGAUCCUCGUGGCUCUUUUCAAGGUGUGAAUAAUUUACUUUGAAAAUAUAUUUGUAGUGAUUUUUUUGUAUCUGAAUGUGUGGUUGUUUAUGAACAACAGCAGCGGCAGCAGCACCGCCACCGCCGCCGCCAGUAUCAGGUGGUGGUGACAUGGAUUUGUUUGGGGACCCGUUCUCGUUGAAUUCAUUGGCUAUUGUUCCUGUUACAUAUGAAACUUCUGACACAAACUCAAAUCCUCCUUCUGGUCAAACAUUUGUGGCACCAUCUUCAACCUCCACUGUUUCUAGUCAGGUAUUAGCCAAAUUACUAAAUUACCCUCUUGGGAUACUUCUAUUCAGCCAUGGUGUUCUCUAUGCAGGCAUUUGAAGAUCCAUUUGGUGAUGGUCCUUUUAGAGCUGUUCCUUCUACAGCUGGAUUUUCAGCUCCUCCCCAGUCAGCAUCCGCUGCCACUGUUGGUCAAAACGGUCAACCACCACCACCACCACAACCUGCCGCCCCGACACCAAACACUGUCAAUAACUUUGGAUAUGGAAGCAGUUUUGACCAAAACACCGAUAUUCUAGCGGGUCUCCUGCCACCAUCUGGACCUUUUCAGGGUCAACCACUAGAAAGUCAACCUCACGGUGGUGGUCAAUUCGUGUCCCAUGGUGGUCAAACCGCCACUCAUGGUGGUUUUCCAGGUCAAAUGAGCUCCGGUUUUCCUGGUUCUAAUGGUCAACCGGCUAACUUUUACGGUGGUUAUGAACCACAAGGCUCUUCAGCUCCACUUCCACCCGUGCCGCCAGUCACCGCCACACC
rnacentral:lncRNA from 1 species